rnacentral:rRNA from 1 species
GUGGGGAAUAUUGGACAAUGGGCGAAAGCCUGAUCCAGCCAUGCCGCGUGUGUGAAGAAGGUCUUCGGAUUGUAAAGCACUUUAAGUUGGGAGGAAGGGUAGUAACCUAAUACGUUGCUACUUUGACGUUACCGACAGAAUAAGCACCGGCUAACUUCGUGCCAGCAGCCGCGGUAAUACGAAGGGUGCAAGCGUUAAUCGGAAUUACUGGGCGUAAAGCGCGCGUAGGUGGUUCAGUAAGUUGGAAGUGAAAUCCCCGGGCUCAACAUGGGAACUGCUUUCAAAACUGCUGAGCUAGAGUACGGUAGAGGGUGGUGGAAUUUCCUGUGUAGCGGUGAAAUGCGUAGAUAUAGGAAGGAACACCAGUGGCGAAGGCGACCACCUGGACUGAUACUGACACUGAGGUGCGAAAGCGUGGGGAGCAAACAGGAUUAGAAACCCGGGUAGUCC